AAGGCAACAGUGCUGAAGCGGAAAUUUGAAUUUUCCUUUUUUCUUAGCAGUGGUGCUGGUAUUGGGGACUGAACCUAGGACAUACACUCUGAGAGCUGUGAAUGAACUUGUGGCCUCAUGCACACCUACAAGGCCUCCACCACUCAGCUAUCGUGCCAGGCCCUAAAUCAGAUUUUCAAAAAGAAUAACCUAAGGACAAUGGAAGAUUUUAAAGGCCCUCUCUUAGCAGAGCAUGAAAGACAAGAAGCAGAGAGAGAGAGAAGUGAGGAGCCAGAAAAACAUAACCUUCUACGUUAAGCCCCCAGGAUCCUACCUGUUCUGACCAGGAUCCAUUUCUAACAGUACAUUUAGUUAUAUUUAUAUCUUCCUAAUAAGUAGCAUCUUUAAAAAAAGACAAGAAAGCAGAAAUGCAGAGUAUUAUUAUACAAGAAGAAGAGAAAAAUAAAGAAAAGUAGAGGUGAUGGGAGGUAAUAAUAAAGGGCAUGAGUAUGAACAAAAUACAUUAUACACUUUGAAUCACCAAAAAUGUGAAACUAGGAGUAAACGUAGAUGAAAGGAGGAAAAGAGUGAAGUGUAGCUGUGCAUGUACAAAUUCAGCAAACUAAAGCCCAUUAAUUUAUAUGAUCUAAAUAAGCUAUUUAAAAUGUACUAAACAAUUAAAAAAAAAAAAAAAACCAAGGCAGAGUAGUUACACAACUUGCCUACAUUCACAUAGCUAGGAAGUGACAGAGUCAAUAGCACACCCAAGGUUAUGAUGGUUUUAGUUUAUGUAAAGAAAAAAGGAGUCAAAAGAAAAGCAUGUGGCUCUAGUUUAGAAGGCUAGCAGAUCAAGUUUGGACAGGUCAUCUUUAAAAUAUGUACUCCAACCCAGGAAUAAUGGCACUACAAUGUUUUGGGAGACUGAGGCAAAAGAAUCUCAAGGUCAAGUCCAGUCUAGACAACUUAGUGAUUUAGUGAAACUGUUUCAAAAUUCAAAAAGGGACUAUCUUAGUGCAAAUACUCUGUACUAUACAAACAAAAGCAAAGCAAACGGGGCAAGAAUGUGUUUACUAUUUAAAUUAAUGGGAUGAUUUCAUGAGUAUAUAUCUAUGUCAAAACUUAGCAAAUGGUACUGUUCCAAAUGUAAAAUUCAUUGUGUGUCAGUUACAUAAAACUGUUUUUCAUAAAGUAUAGAA